rnacentral:rRNA from 1 species
GACGAACCGUGCGAACGUUAUUCGGAAUCACUGGGCUUAAAGGGCGCGUAGGCGGGUUCUCAAGUCAGGGGUGAAAUCCCGCGGCUCAACCGUGGAAGUGCCUUUGAUACUGGGGACCUCGAGGGAGGUAGGGGCGUGCGGAACUUCCGGUGGAGCGGUGAAAUGCGUAGAGAUCAGGAAGAACAUCGGUGGCGAAGGCGCUCUGCUGGACCAUAACUGACACUCAGGGACGAAAGCGAGGGGAGCGAAUGGG